rnacentral:lncRNA from 1 species
GCAUACAUUUUGGACUUUUGAUGUUUAUGACUUUUGUAAUCACUUCUGUAAUUACCUUUUUGAAAUCAAUGAAUGAAAGUUGAUCCUUUUAUGAAAAUUCAAUGUGUAAUUAUUUAUUUGAUGCUUAUUUUUGAAUACUUGUUUGAUUGUGUAUAUGCUAUAUUCAUAAAACUAAAGGAGAGAAAAAUGUAGAGCUUAUUUUCUUGAAAUUAAUUGAAUAUGCACAAUUUGAAUGACAAAGAGAGAGAAUUAAGAAAAAUAAAUUUUUUGGUAUUAAUUAUGAAAAAUAAGGA